AAGUAAAGAAGGGCAGGCGGUGGAUGCCUUGGCUCUCGGAGGCGAUGAAGGACGCGAUAAGCUGCGAAAAGCCCGGGGUAGGCGCAAAUAGCCAUUGAUCCCGGGGUAUCCGAAUGGGGCAACCCGCCGGGCAGGAGGCCCGGCAUCCCGCAAGGGAAGCGAACGUGGGGAACUGAAACAUCUAAGUACCCAUAGGAGGAGAAAACAAUAGUGAUUGCGCAAGUAGCGGCGAGCGGACGCGCAAUAGCCCAAACCGUGCCUGUUUAGGCAGUCACGGGGUUGUAGGACUGCAAUGCGGCAAGAAGGCAGUGUAGCGGAACGCCCUGGAAAGGGCGGCCAUAGGAGGUGAAAGCCCCGUACGCGUAACGCUGCCCAAGCCUAGCAGUAUCCUGAGUAGCGCGGGACACGUGAAAUCCUGUGUGAAUCUGCGGGGCCCAUCCCGCAAGGCUAAAUACUCCCGGGAGACCGAUAGUGUACAAGUACCGUGAGGGAAAGGUGAAAAGAACCUCGGAUAGAGGAGUGAAAUAGACCCUGAACCCGCCUGCCUGCAAGCGGUCGGAGCGCGGCGCAAGCCGUGUGACGGCGUGCCUUUUGCAUAAUGAACCUACGAGUUACGGUUGCUGGCAAGGUUAAGCGCCCAAGGCGCGGAGCCGUAGUGAAAGCGAGCCUGAAUAGGGCGUUGAGUCAGCAGUUGUAGACGCGAAACCAAGUGAUCUACCCAUGGCCAGGCUGAAGGUUGGGUAACACCAACUGGAGGGCCGAACCGGUAGGCGUUGAAAAGCCUUCGGAUGAGCUGUGGGUAGGGGUGAAAGGCCAAUCAAACUUGGAGAUAGCUCGUACUCCCCGAAAUGCAUUUAGGUGCAGCCUGCUGCUGUACUGCCAUGAGGUAGAGCGACUGAUUGGAUGCGAGGGCUUCGCCGCCUAUCAAGUCCAGGUAAACUCCGAAUGCGUGGCAGUUAAGGCGUGGAGUGAGGGCGCGGGUGCUAAGGUCCGCGUCCGAGAGGAGAAGAAUCCGGACCACCAGCUAAGGCCCCCAAAUACCGGUUAAGUUGUUCAAACGAAGUUGGACUGCAGUGACAGCUAGGAUGUUGGCUUGGAAGCAGCCAUUCAUUUAAAGAGUGCGUAACAGCUCACUAGUCGAGCAGGCCGGCGUGGAUAAUACGCGGGCAUAAACCGGUUGCCGAAGCUGUGGAACCUUUAAUUAGGUUGGUAGGGGAGCAUUCCACCGGCGCAGAAGGCCCAGGGCGACCUGGACUGGAGCUUGUGGAAAAGCAAAUGUAGGUAUGAGUAACGAUAAAGGGGGUGUGAAACCCCCUCGCCGUAAGGCCAAGGAUUCCUGAUCAACGUUAAUCGGAUCAGGGUUAGCCGGGUCCUAAGGGUAAGCGCAUAAGCUAUCCCGAUGGAUAAAGGGUUAAUAUUCCCUUGCUGCUUGGGUGAGCGAUGCGGUGACGGAGAAGUGAUAGCCCUGCCGCCUGACGGAAUAGGCGGUUAAAGGGUGUAGGUGUUGAAGGGGGCAGGCAAAUCCGCCCCCCGAGCCGAACCUGAUAGUAUGCGGAGUGCUUGCACGAAGCAAUAAGGGCGUAAACAGGCUCCCAAGAAAACCCGCUAAGCAUAUUGCCCAAGCACCCGUACCGGAAACGGACACACGUGGCCGGGUAGAAUAUACUAAGGCGCUCGAGAGAUUCACGGUUAAGGAACUAGGCAAAAUGGCCCUGUAACUUCGGGAGAAAGGGCGCCAGCAUGCGAGUGCUGGCCGCAGAGCAUAGGCCCAGGCGACUGUUUAACAAAAACACAUGGCUGUGCGAAAUCGAAAGAUGAUGUAUACAGCCUGACACCUGCCCGGUGCCGGAAGGUUAAGGGGAGGGGUUACCGCAAGGGAAGCCCUGAACUGAAGCCCCGGUAAACGGCGGCCGUAACUAUAACGGUCCUAAGGUAGCGAAAUUCCUUGUCGGGUAAGUUCCGACCUGCACGAAUGGUGUAACGAUCUGGGCACUGUCUCAACCGUGAGCUCGGUGAAAUUGUAGUAUCGGUGAAGAUGCCGAUUACCCGCGAUGGGACGAAAAGACCCCGUGAACCUUUACUAUAGCUUUACAUUGAAUUUGGGCACUGGAUGUGUAGGAUAGGCCGGAGGCUGUGAAAUUGCGGCGCUAGCUGCGGUGGAGCCAACGUUGAAAUACGGCCCUUCCAUUGCCCGGGUCCUAACCCCUUGGAGAGGGGGACAUUGUAUGGUGGGUAGUUUGACUGGGGUGGUCGCCUCCAAAAAAGUAACGGAGGCUUCCAAAGGUACCCUCAGGCCGAUUGGUAACCGGCCGGGGAGUGUAAUGGCACAAGGGUGCUUGACUGGGAGGCUCACAAGCCGUCCAGGUAGGAAACUAGGGCAUAGUGAUCCGGUGGUUCCGCAUGGAAGGGCCAUCGCUCAAAGGAUAAAAGGUACUCCGGGGAUAACAGGCUGAUCGCUCCCAAGAGCUCAUAUCGACGGAGCGGUUUGGCACCUCGAUGUCGGCUCGUCACAUCCUGGGGCUGGAGAAGGUCCCAAGGGUUGGGCUGUUCGCCCAUUAAAGUGGCACGCGAGCUGGGUUCAGAACGUCGUGAGACAGUUCGGUCUCUAUCUAUCGUGGGCGCAGGAGAUUUGAGGGGUCCCGUCACUAGUACGAGAGGACCGUGUUGGACAGGCCGCUGGUCUACCGGUUGUACCGCCAGGUGCACCGCCGGGUAGCUACGCCUGGAAAGGAUAAGCGCUGAAAGCAUCUAAGUGCGAAGCCUUCCCCAAGAUGAGAUCUCCCUUAAGGGCCGUCGGAGACGACGACGUUGAUAGGCUACAGGUGUAAACGCAGUAAUGCGGCAGCCGAGUAGUACUAAUAGCCCGUGC
rnacentral:rRNA from 1 species